rnacentral:rRNA from 1 species
AUUGAACGCUGGCGGCAGGCCUAACACAUGCAAGUCGAACGGUAACAGAAAGCAGCUUGCUGCUUUGCUGACGAGUGGCGGACGGGUGAGUAAUGUCUGGGAAACUGCCUGAUGGGGGGGGAUAACUACUGGAAACGGUAGCUAAUACCGCAUAACGUCGCAAGAACAAAGAGGGGGACCUUCGGGCCUCUUGCCAUCGGAUGUGCCCAGAUGGGAUUAGCUAGUAGGUGGGGUAACGGCUCACCUAGGCGACGAUCCCUAGCUGGUCUGAGAGGAGGACCAGCGACACUGGAACUGAGACACGGUCCAGACUCCUACGGGAGGCAGCAGUGGGGAAUAUUGCACAAUGGGCGCAAGCCUGAUGCAGCCAUGCCGCGUGUAUGAAGAAGGCCUUCGGGUUGUAAAGUACUUUCAGCGAGGAGGAAGGUGUUGUGGUUAAUAACCACAGCAAUUGACGUUACUCGCAGAAGAAGCACCGGCUAACUCCGUGCCAGCCGCCGCGGUAA